UACGGAGGGUGCAAGCGUUAUCCGGAUUUACUGGGUUUAAAGGGUGCGUAGGUGGGUUGGGAAGUCAGUGGUGAAAUACUUUCGCUUAACGAAGGAACUGCCAUUGAUACUAUCAAUCUUGAAUGUAGUGGAGGUAGGCGGAAUGCGUCAUGUAGCGGUGAAAUGCUUAGAUAUGACGCAGAACACCAAUUGCGAAGGCAGCUUGCUACACUACUAUUGACACUGAGGCACGAAAGCGUGGGGAUCAAACAGGAUUAGAAUGACCCCAG
rnacentral:rRNA from 1 species